rnacentral:rRNA from 2 species
UGGGGAAUAUUGGACAAUGGGCGCAAGCCUGAUCCAGCCAUGCCGCGUGUGUGAAGAAGGCCUUUUGGUUGUAAAGCACUUUAAGCGAGGAGGAGGCUACUUGGAUUAAUACUCUAGGAUAGUGGACGUUACUCGCAGAAUAAGCACCGGCUAACUCUGUGCCAGCAGCCGCGGUAAUACAGAGGGUGCGAGCGUUAAUCGGAUUUACUGGGCGUAAAGCGUGCGUAGGCGGCUUCUUAAGUCGGAUGUGAAAUCCCUGAGCUUAACUUAGGAAUUGCAUUCGAUACUGGGAAGCUAGAGUAUGGGAGAGGAUGGUAGAAUUCCAGGUGUAGCGGUGAAAUGCGUAGAGAUCUGGAGGAAUACCGAUGGCGAAGGCAGCCAUCUGGCCUAAUACUGACGCGGAGGUACGAAAGCAUGGGGAGCAAACAGG